GCUCGAGUGGCGAACGGGUGAGUAACACGUGAGUAACCUGCCCUUGACUUUGGGAUAACUUCAGGAAACUGGGGCUAAUACCGGAUAGGAGCUCCUGCUGCAUGGUGGGGGUUGGAAAGUUUCGGCGGUUGGGGAUGGACUCGCGGCUUAUCAGCUUGUUGGUGGGGUAGUGGCUUACCAAGGCUUUGACGGGUAGCCGGCCUGAGAGGGUGACCGGCCACAUUGGGACUGCGAUACGGCCCAG
rnacentral:rRNA from 1 species